UAGGAGCUCCUUGCUUCUACCUGUAAGGCUUCACUGGCUACAGUGUCUUGUCUGGGCCAAAACCCUUUCAUAUCCCAUCUUAUGACUAUUAUUAUGAAAAGGGGCAAAGAUUUCUCUCUUUAACUACUUAAUGCUGGCAGGGGAUGCUGUACUAGGGUCUAGGGAAGUUGAUGCAAUGAUAGUUGAUGCCCAGAUAGACGCUGGUGCCAGGACAACUUCACUGGUGAAUGCACGUAUGUUAGAUUGGAAAAACAAAGAGACGAGAUGUCAUGAGGAGGCAUGGCACUGUCAUAUUUAAGGACCCAGGUGAGGUAAAGGAAAAGGUGCCUUUGAUUUAGACAUGUCAUUAUAUCAGGACGACGUUGAGGUAGGAUCAUUGUCACGGUGAGGUAGAAUUCUGAAAAAUAAGUGUGAGGUUUGGAGGAGUGAAGUUAUGAGAGGUGAUUACUCCCCCAUCUGAAAGCAUAAAAGUUAAGAGGGUAGGUGUAUAAAACUUGUCUCUGGUUCAGGAGUUGAACUGGAAAAAAUAGGGGGAGCAGGGAAGUGGUACCAGUAUAGGGAAGGUAAGGGCUUAAGCUUUCAGGGAUGUCAUGUUUAACCAGACAGCUGAGGGUAGAAAGAACUGCUACAGUCAUCACAUAGAAUAUUAUGAAGAUUAUCUUAAGCAUGAUGUGGGAGUCUUUAGGAAAGACUGUCGUGAGUCCUGCUGUAAAAAUUAUCAUUAAUAGAACGUAAGAAAUUAGGAACCAAAGUGGAUAACAAACCAUGACUUAGCCUGUUAACUGUGGCUGUGAGGCCUUCAUGAAACAGAGAUGGGUGGGCAACAGAAGAUGAGAUGACCACUCAGAAUGAUCAGAUUUAGGGCUGGGAAGGCACUUCUUAGUCUGAGUGAUGUGAAACCAGGAUGGGAGUCCAGCAACUUUGACCGCUGUAGGGGUAGCCAAGUAGACCAGAUAGGGGCCACUCCACCUUGGUUGUAAGUCCUGUGGAUUUAGAACAUUUCAGAUAAAUUAGAUCUCCUGGGGAUAUGGGAGGAUCUGGUUUGGCUUCUCCAGAGGGUUGUGGAAGGCAGAGAUCAACAUGUUGUAGCAACAAGGGUCAGAGGAAGGAGAGGACUGGAACAUAGUCAGCAAGGGGAGAGAGAUUUUGGGGAGUAGGAUGAUUAUGGAGUAAGAAUACAAACAUAAGUUCAAAAGGACUUAAGAAAGUAGGAGCCCGGGGAAGUGCCCUGAGUGUGGCUAAGGCUAAGGACAAAAGUUGAGGCCAAGGUUGGUGUAGUUCUAAAGUGAGUUUUGUAAGGUGUGUCUUUAUGAGGCCAUUUGCCUUUUCCAUUUUCCCUGAAGAUUGUGGAUGAUAUGGGAUGUGUAGGUGCCAGAGGAUGUGUAAGCUUGAGGAUACCUGUUCAGUGAUCUGAGAAAUAACGGCGGGACCAUUACCUGACUGAAUACUCUGAGGUAGACCAAACCUUGGAAUGAUUUCUUGUAACAUGACUUUGGUAACUACAUCAGCAGUUUCCCUGGUUGUGGGAAAGGCUUCUAUCCAUCCUGAAAAGUUACAAACAAAGGUGAGAAGAUAUUUGAGAGUUUUGUGGCAGGGCAUGUGUGUAAAACCUAUCUGCCAGUCCUGACCAGGGGUGUGUCCUCGAAACUGAUGGGUAGGAAAGGAAGGGGGUGCCACAUGUCCCUGAGGAGAGGUCCUAGCACAGAGAUAACAGGUGUGAGUAAUCUUAAGAAUGGUAGCUUUUAGAGAAGUGUGUGUGACUAUUGGGGCUAAGAGUUUGUAUAAGGCCUAUGAUCCUAUAUGAAUACAGUUGUGUAAGUCAGUGAUGAUGUCUAAGGCCUGUUAGUGUGGGAGAACAAGUUUAGAUCCCUGAAAAAUCCAUUCCUGAGUGUUUUGUGUGUAAUCUGGUUUAUGAAGUAGCUGUAACUGUUCUGGUGAAUAAUUAGGCUGAGGUAGACUGUUUGGAAUUAUGGGAGAAGAUGAGAAGGGCAGGGCCCUUUGCAGCUCACUUUGCUUGUGAAUCUGCAAAGGCAUUGCCUUGAGCAAUAGGAUCUGUAGAGUUUUGGUGUCCUCUACAAUGAAUAACUGCUGCCUGCUUUGGAAGUUGGGCUGCCUCUAGAAGUUUUAGGAUAAGGGGAGCAUUAAUGAUGGGGAUUCCCUGAGUUGUAAUAAAACCCUGUUCUUGCCAGAUAGAGGCAAGAGUGUAUACAGUUCCUCCCACAUUUUACUCUCAAUGGCUCCUGCCUGCCAAGCAUGAGCAGCUCUCCCAUUACACCAUUUUUCCCGCGAAGCUGGCUAACUAUGUGUGGACUGAGAUUUAUGAAACUAUAAACCAAAAUAAAACUCCCCUUAUUUCAAUUGUGGGUGUCACGGUUUAUGUCUGUGACACCCAGGCCCCGUUCAUUUGCAUUGUGCAUUUGUGAUUGGUUCAUUGUCUAGUGCUUGGAUUGAUGGUGUCAGUGUUACUUCCACAAGGUGGAGGAGCCAGGGUGUAAUUUAAUGGUAGGUAGAAGGUGUGUCUUGUACUCUCUUGCCUGUUUCUCCCUUGCCAUUUGCAGCUUCCAUGAACUGAGCCCCUGCCAUGCCACCCUGUCUUGGAGACAACUGAGUAUGGACUGAAACUCCAAAAACUGUAAGAAAUAAACCGUUCCUUUCCCAACUUGGUGCAUCAGGUAUUUUGUUUCAGUGAUGAGUAAAACAGAACUAAGACCGAAUUUGAUAUUGAGAGUGGGCUUCAUUUGCUGAGACUCUACCUGACCAUGUUUUUUGAGAGGCUUUGGAAAUGGCUUGUCAGAAUUUGGAAUGGUUCAGAUAUGUCACCUGGAUACAUAGAGAUGGAGCAAUUUACACUGAUCUGUAGAGGAGAUUCUGGUCAGAGCUCUGAAGAAAUAGAAAGCCUCAUGGUAAAGACCAGGCCUGGGAUCUUUCUGCUGGGCAGAAGAACUGCAUCAUGGACUCACUAUGAAGUGCGUUAUGGCUUGGCAGAAAGCUUGUCUGCAUUUUGCUCAUGGCCAGAGACUUUGCCUGAGACUGAAACAAAGAACAAUGGACUGAUUAAUCUGGAAAAGGAAAUUUCCAUGAAAUCGAAUGUUGAGGCUGUGGCGUAGCUAUUGUUGGGGCCUUUUAGCCAGCUUUAUGUUGCAAAUCAAGAGCAAAGAGCCCACUAGCAUAAUUUACAGCACUGUGAGUUUGGCCAGAAAGAAAAUUCCAGAAAAGACAGAGUGGAGAAUUUGAUUGCUGAGGAGAAACUGAGAGAUAAAAAUCAUGGCCCCAGGGCAUCCCAGAAAACAUUGGGUCCCCACCCUUUGCAAUUUCAAAACUGCAAAAGUGAAGGAAUUUGCUCAGAAGAGUAAGCUGCAGAGCACCAUGUUCCAGAAUGGUACCAGGGGCCACAUGAGGUUCCAAAAUGGUAGCAGCCAAUUGAGGCUCCAGAAUGGUGGCAACAUAGAGAAUCACAAUCAUGUUCACAGAGCCCAGUGAUCCAGGCAAUCAAUCCCUAUAGAGAAGAGAGAAAAAACCUGGCUACUGCUCGAGAUGGCAGCAAACCUUGGCAGCAUCCACAAGGUGCUGAUUUUAGAUGCAAGAAAAAUGCACAAAUUCUGAGGGUAAGAUGGCUUCCACCUGUAAGAUGGCUUCCGAUUGUAAAGGGCCUGGGAGGCCAAGCAGUGUGCCUCUGAAAGGGCAAUAUGUAAGGAUGUAAGGGUGAGGCCAAAGUGCAGUGGAGACCUCAGAAGUUUGGAAAAGCCAGGAAAGUGGAUCAUCCAAGGAAAGCUACAAAAAGUGAGCAGAGAGGAUUUAAGAGAAAAGCUGCAGGAGCUUAAAUCCCUGGAAGUGCCAUGGGGGUGGAAUCAUCCAAGCCUUUUGGAGCUUGCAACCAGACUGCUUCAAAUGCUGAGCAUGAAACUUCAUCCUGUUGGAUGUUGGACUUCCUUUAUUUCCAAUGCUUUAUAUGCCCCUGUUUGUAACUUUCAGAAUGGUAAUGCUUAUCUUGUGCCUUGGCAUUUCAGAAAUGUUUAACCUUGUUUCAUUUGUACAGGGGGUUGCAGUUAAGAAUUUGCCAUAGAUGUUGGAGGAGACUUGGAACUUGGACAUUUGAGCAAUGCUGAAACUGUGAGGACUUCAGCAACUCUUGGAGCUGCCAUGGACUGCAGCCCAGCCAUGCCACCCUGCCUUGGAGCCAACUGAGUAUGGAAUGAAACCUCCAAAAAAUGUACAUGGAAGUGAGCAGUUUCAUCAUGCCACCAUGCCCUCUGCCCUCUACCAAGCUGUCUUUGCCUUGGAGCCAGCCAUCCAUGACUGACACCUUUGAAACUAUGAAGUAGAAUGCACUCCUCCUCACUUAAUUUGUGAAUGUCUUGAAUUGUGUCCUAGCAACAGACAAUGACCAAUAAAAAGAUGCAUGAUUUCUGCC